rnacentral:rRNA from 1 species
UACAGAGGUCUCAAGCGUUGUUCGGAAUCACUGGGCGUAAAGGGUGCGUAGGCGGCUUGAUAAGUCAAAUGUGAAACACUGGGGCUCAACCUCAGAAUUGCAUAUGAUACUGUUGAGCUAGAGGGCUGAAGAGGAGUUUUGAAUUCACGGUGUAGCAGUGAAAUGCGUAGAUAUCGUGAGGAACACCAAAGGCGAAAGCAAAACUCUUGGCAGCUCCUGACGCUCAGGCACGAAGGCUAGGGGAGCAAACGGG